rnacentral:misc_RNA from 1 species
CUGAACAUAACCUUCAAUAUAACGAAGCAUAUUGUUUGAAUAGAGGUAGUGUGUGAGAUCAGCCACAAAACCAAAACGAUCACAAACAUUAAUCAGAGGCCUAGCAUCUGGAAGUUUGGCCUCCAUCAGAAAGUUCUUCGUCUUUUCAGCAUCAUAAAAAUUUGAUUCUCUAGUAACACGUUCAACCUCCUUUAUUUGUCCAGUUUUAGCAGCUGCCUCAAUGUACUUGAAGUGUAUAUCAGGAUCCUCACUGGAACUCAAAUUGAACUCAAAUAUGACCCAAGAAAAAAGUAAAGCCCUUCAUAGGACUUGAAUUGCUCAAA